rnacentral:rRNA from 1 species
AUUGAACGCUGGCGGCAGGCUUAACACAUGCAAGUCGAGCGGGGUGAUGGUGCUUGCACUAUCACUUAGCGGCGGACGGGUGAGUAAUGCUUAGGAAUCUGCCUAUUAGUGGGGGACAACAUCUCGAAAGGGAUGCUAAUACCGCAUACGUCCUACGGGAGAAAGCAGGGGAUCACUUGUGACCUUGCGCUAAUAGAUGAGCCUAAGUCGGAUUAGCUAGUUGGUGGGGUAAAGGCCUACCAAGGCGACGAUCUGUAGCGGGUCUGAGUGGAUGAUCCGCCACAGUGGGACUGAGACACGGCCCAGACUCCUACGGGAGGCAGCAGUGGGGAAUAUUGGACAAUGGGGGGAACCCUGAUCCAGCCAUGCCGCGUGUGUGAAGAAGGCCUUAUGGUUGUAAAGCACUUUAAGCGAGGAGGAGGCUCUUUUGGUUAAUACCCAAGAUGAGUGGACGUUACUCGCAGAAUAAGCACCGGCUAACUCUGUGCCAGCAGCCGCCGUAA